ensembl:lncRNA
UAGCGAGAUACACUCUCUAUGCAUAUAUGUUUAUAGAUACAGAUAUACUUACAUGUCUAAAAAUCACGUUUAUUUAACUGUAAGCUCCUGAAGUGAGAAAGCAAGCAAUCUAAAAUAUUUAUGUCCACUAUGCAACUGCUAACAAAAUAACUCUUCUUUGACAUCAGUCUUCAGGACUUCCAGCACUUCAGCUUUGCCAUUUUUACAAUGGCUUUGUAGUAAAAGUAGUGCAAACCUUCUAAAAUCAACACAAUAAGUAACCUGGGGAGUAGGAGGUAAACUAAAUGAAGGUCAUCUUUCUACAUACAGAUGUAACCACAGAGCUAGGUGACAUAUUAAUAUUCACUGUAGUUUCAUUUUAAACCUCUGGGAGUUCAUUAGCUUCCCUCUUAUAUGUUAUUGUUCAAAUCCUGCCUAUGACAGAGCAAACAGAAAAGAUAACAAAAAUGAUUGAAUAGAAGGUAUUUUCCAGGUUGUGAAAAUGCAGCUGAAGUAAUACUGUGCUCUGCUGGGCUUCUCAUAUUUUGUUGUAUUACAGGAUAGAUGCAGAAAAUAAGAUGGUUCUCCCUCUUGAGGAAAAAAAACAUUUAUUAUGAGAAUGAAUGCACCAGUCAGAGCAUAUGGGCCUAACAGAUAUGCUUUGGACUGUAAAUGAAGACAUAUGGUUCCUAAAGUCAGUGCAGCUGUUAUGGUUGGAACCAAAGAAUAAUCUGCCUUCUUUGUCAUCAGCUUAAUAGGCCACUUAAAUGCAUUUCAGUGAAGCAGUAGAGCAGACACGGAUUCAUUUACUGAGCAAACCCACAGCAUUACAAUUUUGCAGAAAGAUUUGCUUCUGAUGUGAACUUUGGCCAUUGCUGUUCUAUAAUUUUCUGGCUUACUGGACAUAUUAUGUUGCUGUCUAAUUUUAAGAAGCUUUAAUUUCCUACCUUUUUUUUUUUUUUUUUUUUUUCUUCCAAAAGAUAAUAUUACCAAGUGUAAAAUCUAUACAAAACUUCAUCAUAUAGUACAUAUAAAUAUGAAUGCGAAGAGCUGUUUGAGCUUUCAAUUUUCCUGUUAAGUAAGCUUUAUAUACCCAUUGCAUAGACAUUUUUUCAGAUUUUAUGAUACGGGUAAUCAAGAAAUUGUGUGUUAAUGUUGUUAAGAAGGUUGUGGAUACAGCAAUAUUCACUAGAAUCUACCAUUAGGCUCUCUCUUGUCAUAUUCUAUUUUGAUGAUAACCAUGGAAAAGCUCAGAAUGUGGUAACUUCAUCUUAGCCUUUGGAGGCAGGUGUGGCUUUUUUUUAUUAUUGUUUUUUUCAUUUUUAAUUUAAAAUAUCAAAUGUCUUUGAUAAUGUGCAUUUAAAACCAACUAAGCCAUAUCUUCAAAUGUGAUUUAAAGCCUACACGACUCUUCCAUUAAUUUUCCAUGAGGCUGACUAAGUGGAUAAAUUAUUUUGAAUUUGGGAUUUAGCCUUCUAUGUAACUUGUUACUUAGUCAAACUUUUAAUUAACUAAACUGUUCUCUUUAUGAUUCACAUUGAGCAAUUUCCAACAGCAGUAUUUUUCAGGUGAAAAUUCAUG